rnacentral:sRNA from 1 species
AUCAGCACGAGCCAACGGUGUAAAACACCGUC